rnacentral:rRNA from 1 species
AUUGAACGCUGGCGGCAUGCCUUACACAUGCAAGUCGAACGGCAGCACGGGUGCUUGCACCUGGUGGCGAGUGGCGAACGGGUGAGUAAUACAUCGGAACAUGUCCUGUAGUGGGGGAUAGCCCGGCGAAAGCCGGAUUAAUACCGCAUACGAUCUACGGAUGAAAGCGGGGGACCUUCGGGCCUCGCGCUAUAGGGUUGGCCGAUGGCUGAUUAGCUAGUUGGUGGGGUAAAGGCCUACCAAGGCGACGAUCAGUAGCUGGUCUGAGAGGACGACCAGCCACACUGGGACUGAGACACGGCCCAGACUCCUACGGGAGGCAGCAGUGGGGAAUUUUGGACAAUGGGCGAAAGCCUGAUCCAGCAAUGCCGCGUGCGUGAAGAAGGCCUUCGGGUUGUAAAGCACUUUUGUCCGGAAAGAAAUCCUUGGCCCUAAUACGGUCGGGGGAUGACGGUACCGGAAGAAUAAGCACCGGCUAACUACGU